rnacentral:rRNA from 1 species
GAUGAACGCUGGCGGCGUGCCUAAUACAUGCAAGUCGAGCGAACGGACGAGAAGCUUGCUUCUCUGAUGUUAGCGGCGGACGGGUGAGUAACACGUGGAUAACCUACCUAUAAGACUGGGAUAACUUCGGGAAACCGGAGCUAAUACCGGAUAAUAUUUUGAACCGCAUGGUUCAAAAGUGAAAGACGGUCUCGCUGUCACUUAUAGAUGGAUCCGCGCUGCAUUAGCUAGUUGGUAAGGUAACGACUUACCAAGGCAACGAUGCAUAGCCGACCUGAGAGGGUGAUCGGCCACACUGGAACUGAGACACGGUCCAGACUCCUACGGGAGGCAGCAGUAGGGAAUCUUCCGCAAUGGGCGAAAGCCUGACGGAGCAACGCCGCGUGAGUGAUGAAGGUCUUCGGAUCGUAAAACUCUGUUAUUAGGGAAGAACAUAUGUGUAAGUAACUGUGCACAUCUUGACGGUACCUAAUCAGAAAGCCACGGCUAACUACGUG